rnacentral:rRNA from 1 species
UACGUAGGUGACAAGCGUUGUCCGGAUUUACUGGGCGUAAAGAGCGCGCAGGCGGUCGAUCAAGUCGAGUGUGAAAGCCCCCGGCUCAACUGGGGAGGGUCAUUCGAUACUGAUCGACUCGAAGGCAGGAGAGGGUAGUGGAAUUCCCGGUGUAGUGGUGAAAUGCGUAGAUAUCGGAAGGAACACCAGUGGCGAAAGCGGCUCCCUGGUCCAGCACCGACGUUCAGGCACGAAAGCGUGGGGAGCAAACAGG